UACAGAGGUCUCAAGCGUUGUUCGGAUUCAUUGGGCGUAAAGGGUGCGUAGGCGGCGCGGUAAGUCGGGUGUGAAAUCUCGGAGCUUAACUCCGAAACUGCAUUCGAUACUGCCGUGCUUGAGGACUGGAGAGGAGACUGGAAUUUACGGUGUAGCGGUGAAAUGCGUAGAUAUCAGGAAGAACACCAAUGGCGAAGGCAGCUCUCUGGGACGGUACUGACGCUGAGACGCGAAAGCGUGGGGAGCGAACAGG
rnacentral:rRNA from 1 species